UACGUGAGGGGCGAACGUUGUUCGGUGUCACUGGGCUUAAAGGGUGCGUAGGUGGUUGCGUAAGUAACGUGUGAAAUCCCUCGGCUUACCCGGGGAAUUGCACGUUAUACUGCGUGACUUGAGGACUAAAGGGGAAAAGGGAACUCCAGGUGUAGCGGUGAAAUGCGCAGAUAUCUGGGGGAAGGCCGGCGGCGAAGGCGCUUUUCUGGUUAGUACCUGACACUGAGGCACGAAAGCGUGGGGAGCAAACAGG
rnacentral:rRNA from 1 species